GACGGAGGAUGCAAGUGUUAUCCGGAAUCACUGGGCGUAAAGCGUCUGUAGGUGGUUUAAAAAGUCUAUUGUUAAAAAUUGAAGCUUAACUUCAAAGAUGCAAUGGAAACUUUUAAACUUGAGUAUGGUAGGGGUAGAGGGAAUUUCCAGUGGAGCGGUGAAAUGCGUAGAUACUGGAAAGACCACCAAUGGCGAAGGCACUCUACUGGGCCAUUACUGACACUGAGAGACGAAAGCUAGGGGAGCAAAUGGG
rnacentral:rRNA from 1 species